GGAACAACUGUUAGCCCAGCUGAAAUAGAAUGCAUCUUUAAGGGGGUGUUUCUUAACUUGGUGACCUUUGGUUAGUGCUCCCCAUGUCUGUUGUUCCUGAACAGGGCUGUGGGCCCGUGGUUCCAGCACAGAAUUCUCUUCUUAUAGGUACGUUUGUCUGGAAGGAAGCUCUGCUCCCUGUCCUUCUGAUGGGGUUUAUGGAUACAGAUGUCCUAGUGGCUUCUACUGUCCUGCUGGCACUGGGCUAGAACUGCCCUGUGAGCCUGGCACCUUCAGCCCUAUGCCUGGGGCGAGUGCUUGCCUCCCUUGCCCAGCUGGAAUGGCCUGCAGCCAUGCAGCCACUGCAGAACCACUCAGCUGCCCCAGAGGUUACUAUUGUCCAGCUAGGACUGCUGCUCCCCUGCCGUGCCCCGAGGGGACGCUGAAUACCAUGGAGGGGGCAUUGGCCCCCACUGCUUGCAAGCUAUGUCCAGUGGGGAUGUACUGUAGAGGAGAUGCUAAUUGGGAACCUGAUGGUCUGUGUUCAGCUGGGUACUACUGUGAAGGAGGAGCCACUGAUGCAGUUCCACGUGGGACGCCGGCGUUCCCACUCAGUGGGCCCUGCCCACUUGGACAUUAUUGUCCAGAGGGCACUCCUUUUCCAGUUGCCUGCCCAGUUGGGACCCUGAACAACAGCACAGGUGGUACCUCCCCUGAGAGCUGUGUGCCGUGUUAUCCUGGGUCUUUCUGUGCUAGCGUUGGUUUGAGUUCCCCAACAGGGCCUUGUACUGAGGGAUUUUACUGCCCAGCAAACUUCAGCUCCAUCAGCCCCACAGCAUUUCUCUGCCCUAAGGGUCACUUCUGCCAAUCAGGAGCAGCCCACCCAACACCAUGCCCUGCUGGGGAAUACCAGCCAGCCAGGGGCUCUGCGUCCUGCAUUCCAUGCCAGAGAGGGUUCUACUGCCAGGAGCUGGUGGCUGGGGACCCCAAGAGCUGCCCACCACAUACGUACUGCCCUCCAGGCACACAGUUUCCUCAGGCAUGUCCUGAAGGCACCUUUACUCCUCCAAAUAUGACUGGCCUCUGGAAUGAGAAGCAAUGCCUGCCUUGCUUACCUGGUCACUACUGCAGGCGUGGACAGCUAGUGGGGAAAUGUGCUGCUGGAUACUUCUGCC
rnacentral:lncRNA from 1 species